rnacentral:rRNA from 1 species
AACGCUGGCGGCGUGCCUCAGACAUGCAAGUCGAACGCGAAAGUUCCCUUCGGGGAGCGAGUAGAGUGGCGCACGGGUGAGUAACACGUAGGUAAUCUACCUUUGGAUGGGGAAUAACAGCCGGAAACGGUUGCUAAUACCGCAUAAUGCAGCGGCACCUAAUGGUGACAGUUGUUAAAGCGGGGGAUCGUAAGACCUCGCGUCUGAAGAGGAGCCUGCGGCGGAUUAGCUAGUUGGUAAGGUAACGGCUUACCAAGGCUAUGAUCCGUAGCCGGCCUGAGAGGGCGGUCGGCCACACUGACACUGGCAUACGGGUCAGACUCCUACGGGAGGCAGCAGUCGGGAAUUUUGGGCAAUGGGCGAAAGCCUGACCCAGCAACGCCGCGUGAAGGAUGAAAUCCUUCGGGAUGUAAACUUCGCAAGAACAGGAAGAAUAAACCGGUGUUAACAUCACCGGCGAUGACGGUACUGUUUGUAAGCUCCGGCUAACUCCGUGCCAGCAGCCGCGGUAAUACGGGGGGAGCAAGCGUUGUUCGGAUUUACUGGGCGUAAAGGGCGCGUAGGCGGCCACCGCAAGUCGGUUGUGAAAUCUCCGGGCUUAACCCGGAAAGGUCAAUCGAUACUGCGGGGCUAGAGUGCAGAAGGGGCAACUGGAAUUCUCGGUGUAGCGGUGAAAUGCGUAGAUAUCGAGAGGAACACCUGCGGCGAAGGCGGGUUGCUGGGCUGACACUGACGCUGACAGUCGAAAGCUAGGGGAGCGAACG